rnacentral:rRNA from 1 species
AAACGACUCUCGGCAACGGAUAUCUUGGCUCUCGCAUUGAUGAAGAACGUAGUGAAAUGCGAUACUUGGUGUGAAUUGCAGAAUCUCGUGAACCAUCGAGUCUUUGAACGCAAGUUACGCCCUACGCCAUUAGGCUGAGGGCACGCCUGCCUGGGCGUUACG